rnacentral:rRNA from 1 species
CGUGGAGCAAACCUACAGAAAGCCAAUCUCAGUUCGGAUUGUAGGCUGCAACUCGCCUACAUGAAGUUGGAAUCGCUAGUAAUCGCGAAUCAGAAUGUCGCGGUGAAUACGUUCCCGGGUCUUGUACACACCGCCCGUCACACCACGAGAGUUUACAACACCCGAAGUCAGUGGCCUAACCGCAAGGAGGGAGCUGCCUAAGGUGGGUAGAUGAUUGGGGUGAAGUCGUAACAAGGUAGC